GUGUCAGCAGCCGCGGUAAGACGUAGGUGGCAAGCGUUGUCCGGAAUUACUGGGCGUAAAGGGCGUGUAGGCGGUUGCCUAAGUCAGGCGUGAAACCCCCGGGCUUAACCUUGGGACUGCGCUUGAGACUGGGCGGCUUGAGGACAGGAGAGGAAAGUGGAACUCCGUGUGUAGCGGUGAAAUGCGUAGAUAUACGGAAGAACACCAGUGGCGAAGGCGACUUUCUGGACUGUUUCUGACGCUGAGGCGCGAAAGCCAGGGGAGCGAACGGGAUUAGAUACCCCGGUAGUCCUGGCCGUAAACGAUGGGUACUAGGUGUGGGGGGUAUCGACCCCUCCCGUGCCGGAGUUAACACAAUAAGUACCCCGCCUGGGGAGUACGGCCGCAAGGUUGAA
rnacentral:rRNA from 1 species